GUUUGCUCCAGCAGUACAUAUACUCAAAUUGUAAUGAUACAGAGAAGAUUAGCAUGACCUCUGCUCAAGGAUGACAUACAAAUUCAUGAAGCAUUUCAUAUUUUU